rnacentral:misc_RNA from 1 species
GAUGAAGAACGCAGCGAAAUGCGAUAAGUAAUGUGAAUUGCAGAAUUCAGUGAAUCAUCGAAUCUUUGAACGCACAUUGCGCCCGCCAGUAUUCUGGCGGGCAUGCCUGUUCGAGCGUCAUUUCAACCAUCAAGCCCCGGGCUUGUGUUGGGGACCUGCGGCUGCCGCAGGCCCUGAAAUGCAGUGGCGGGCUCGCUGUCACUCCGAGCGUAGUAGUUACAUCUCGCUCUGGGCGUGCUGCGGGUUCCGGCCGUUAAAAGCCUUAUUUACCCAAGGUUGACCUCGGAUCAGGUAGGAAGACCCGCUGAACUUAAGCAUAUCAAAAGCGGAGGA